AGAAGAGCCCCAGAGUGACGACAACACGACAGAAAAGAAGAAACCAAGCCAGAGAUACUUCCAGUGCAUUUACGUUCCUGGUAAAAAUGCACAGUACCCGCUGAGACCAGGCUUCACGCCAGCCAUGUCCCCCGCCAUGGUGUCCCCCUCCAUGAUGUCCCCCGCCAUCAAGUCCAUGCUGGAGCAGCAGCAGCAGCAGCAGCGAGCAGCGAGGACACCGGGACAAUAGACAACCUGAACUCUCACCUCAUUUCUGACAGCACUGCCUCUCCCGGUCCAGCAGGGGGAGACCUUUUAAAUCUGUGGGACCCUUAAACUCUGAGGACAAACCCACAGACAGAAAGAUAAGAGUGGACAGAAAUAUUUUGUCUUUAAUUUAUUUAUGUACUUAUUUUCUCUCUAUGUGGUCGAGCUCCUGGGGUUCCUGUUCAUAUUUACCUCUUUCAGCUUCAAUAGUCUCGCUGCCAUGUCCUGCUUCUGCUUUAGCAAUAAUAUAAUA